GAUUCAUUCAUUUCAUAAGUAUUUUGUUGAGCUUGCUGUGUGCUGGAAAAUAGAAAGUAAAUGGGAGAUCAAAAUUCCUGCCAUUUUAGAGCUCAUAUUCUGGUGUUUUAUGUUGAAUAUGAUAAAUGUUCAGAAGAAACAAUCAAGUACAGGAGGGGACCUGGAAGCCUGGAGCAAGGUGGCGAGCAGUAAUAAUAUUUGGAGGAACAGCAUUCCAACAGCAGGUUUAGCACAUGUGCAGCAUGGCAUGUCAGGAGCAGCAUCAGGGCUGGCAUGGCUAGGGUGGAAUGGACCAGGGUCUGAGCAUAGGGGUGAGGUCAGAGAGGCAUGUGGGAGACUUGUAGAUCACACUAAAUGGGCUGAGUGAAAUUCACCCACCAGAAAGUCUCAUAAAGGGUACUGGACACUGGUCCUUUGGAAUUAGCUCCCUUUCAGUCCUGUUAAAGCCUGAGUCAUAAGAAAUGAAUCAUCCAUUUCUCUGUGGUAGUUGAAACCCUCUAGUGGACUCAGUCCUGUAAAGUCACAGAGAGGGACAAGAAAAGGAUUUGCAAAUAAGGAAACCUCAGGGCAUAGGUGUAUUCUCUAAGUCCAAGGUUUCAGGUACUAGGACCAAGUAUAUGACCCAAGUUUAUAAUACUUAAGAGCCUGUUCAGGGGCAGCUUUUGUCCUCUUUCCUCCCUCCCCGGGCGCUCUGUA
rnacentral:lncRNA from 1 species